rnacentral:rRNA from 1 species
AUUGAACGCUGGCGGCAUGCCUUACACAUGCAAGUCGAACGGCAGCACGGGUGCUUGCACCUGGUGGCGAGUGGCGAACGGGUGAGUAAUGCAUCGGAACGUACCCGGAAGUGGGGGAUAACGUAGCGAAAGUUACGCUAAUACCGCAUAUUCUGUGAGCAGGAAAGCAGGGGACCGCAAGACCUUGCGCUUUAGGAGCGGCCGAUGUCGGAUUAGCUAGUUGGUGAGGUAAAGGCUCACCAAGGCGACGAUCCGUAGCGGGUCUGAGAGGAUGAUCCGCCACACUGGGACUGAGACACGGCCCAGACUCCUACGGGAGGCAGCAGUGGGGAAUUUUGGACAAUGGGCGCAAGCCUGAUCCAGCCAUGCCGCGUGAGUGAAGAAGGCCUUCGGGUUGUAAAGCUCUUUCGGUUGGGAAGAAAUUGCACUGGUUAAUACCUAGUGUAGAUGACGGUACCAGCAUAAGAAGCACCGGCUAACUACGUG